GCCUGCUUAGCUCAGUGGUAGAGCGCGUCACUUGUAAGCGCAUCCUUGCGAUUGCAUGACGAGGUCAGUCGUUCAAACCGGCUAGUUGGCA